rnacentral:rRNA from 1 species
CGUAGGGUGCGAGCGUUAAUCGGAAUUACUGGGCGUAAAGCGUGCGCAGGCGGUUUUAUAAGUCUGAUGUGAAAUCCCCGGGCUCAACCUGGGAACUGCAUUGGAGACUGUAAGGCUAGAGUGUGUCAGAGGGGGGUAGAAUUCCACGUGUAGCAGUGAAAUGCGUAGAUAUGUGGAGGAAUACCGAUGGCGAAGGCAGCCCCCUGGGAUAACACUGACGCUCAUGCACGAAAGCGUGGGGAGCAAACAGGAUUAGAUACCCUGGUAGUCCACGCCCUAAACGAUGUCUACUAGUUGUCGGGUCUUAAUUGACUUGGUAACGCAGCUAACGCGUGAAGUAGACCGCCUGGGGAGUACGGUCGCAAGAUUA